UCGCACGACAUGCGCUCUAACAACUGGGUCAUCGUUGAGCAUGAGCGCCUGAAAAUCCAUUUUCUUGGUCUCUCUCUCACUGUGAGUCGUCUAGCUACCUAGGUCAGGACAGGCCAGGCCAGGCCAGGCCAGGCAAGGAUCCACCAAGCAUUCGCCGCACUCUCUUUCUCUCUAUCUAUCUCUAUAUCUUCUCUCUUACUCUCUCUCUCUCUCUCUCUCUCUCUCAAUUUUUAUCUUUCAACGUCGAUAAUUCAUCCUAUCUGACAAAAUGGGCUGGACUACGUUACGUACAAGAGUCGACAUUGAAUAAGAAAAAAAAAAAAAAAAAAAAAAUAAGAAAAAACGAUUCGUGAUGAAUUCCGCAAUGGCGCAGCCUCGAUCCAAUUAAUGUCAUCGUAACAACACACUAUGAAAGCAUUAAAAUUGCAUUGGCUUCGAUAUCAGAUUUCUAUUUUACUCGUUUGACAAAACACACAACUGGCACGAAAGUGUAAAAACAGCGAGAAGAGACUACGACAAUUUUGACAAAAUACGUUCGAGUAAAAUUGGUGAGAAAUAAUAAUUAAUAGGGCGGGAAAAUCAAAUACCAAAA